AUGAACGCUGGCGGCGUGCUUAACACAUGCAAGUCGAACGAAGCACUUUAUUUGAUUUUCUUCGGAAAUGAAGAUUCUGUGACUGAGUGGCGGACGGGUGAGUAACGCGUGGGUAACCUGCCUCAUACAGGGGGAUAACAGUUGGAAACGACUGCUAAUACCGCAUAAGCGCACAGCAUCGCAUGAUGCAGUGUGAAAAACUCCGGUGGUAUGAGAUGGACCCGCGUCUGAUUAGCCAGUUGGCGGGGUAACGGCCCACCAAAGCAACGAUCAGUAGCCGACUUGAGAGGGUGACCGGCCACAUUGGGACUGAGACACGGCCCAAACUCCUACGGGAGGCAGCAGUGGGGAAUAUUGCACAAUGGGGGAAACCCUGAUGCAGCGACGCCGCGUGAGCGAAGAAGUAUUUCGGUAUGUAAAGCUCUAUCAGCAGGGAAGAAGAAUGACGGUACCUGACUAAGAAGCACCGGCUAAAUACGUG
rnacentral:rRNA from 1 species